ACCAAGAAUACACACUGAUAUGUAAUCCCUAUUUCUUACAAUUUGGCAGUGAAAAUUUGCAUGUGGUGCAUUUUUCACAUUUUUCAAAUUGACCCUGAAGUACUCGCGGCUGCGCUGCCGCUGAUUGGUUUCCCCCGAAUGCAGCCUGCUUGAAUGAAGCUGAAGGAAACGUCGUCGUAGUCGACUUACAAUGGCGCAAUUCAAGUUCGGGAUGUUUUAUUUUAGGGACAACACAAUUCACGUCGAAAGUACUGACAUUGUGACACCUCAGUACAGACAGCAGCUUGUUCAGGUAUUAAAACGGCCGGACCUGUCGAGUGAAGACGGAUGGAUACAAGUGUGCUGGCCGACCAGGAAAGCACCUAAAAACAAGGUGGCCGCAAAACCGCUCCUACUCUGAGACAACUACAAGGAGUUGAUGGAAAGAAAAGAAGCCUUCUUCAAGGAUGAAGACAUCUGGCACAUGGCAGUUGCAAGGAGAAGGACCUCACCUUGUACCACAACAUAUGACGGAAGCAAACCAAAGAAAAAAAGAAUUACUGCAACUUCCAGUCUCACUUCAGAUGAAGAUGAAACACAGAUUGACCCAUCACAAGUUCUUCAAACAAAUAUACAGUUAUUGCUGAAUUUCCAGGAACAACUGUGUCUGAUGUGAGAGCAGUGAUUCGGAGAAAAUGUAACAAUGAGAAUUUUGUGACCAAAAAGAAACAGUAAGCAGUAACAUCAGUAACUGAUUGUAAUAGUUUUUGUUUGUUUAUUUUUUGGUGGACAUACAUUUUGAGUUUACACAAACUGUGUCAAUGUUUCAAAAGUCAGUUUAAUGUUCAUUUCUGUCAUUACUAGCUUCUCUGCGGUGCACAGCUAGCACAUCUAUUGUUUCUUCUGAAGAUCAAGCUGUUUGGGUCUCUGUAAAAUUUGUUGAUAAACUUUUUUCUUUUUUUUUGUGAACAAAUGAUCCAAAUUUGAAAAAAAAUUUUACGAUGAAGAGAAACUGUUUGAAAAUGUUGUUUAGAUGUACUGUACCAACACUAAACUUUACAUAUUUAAGUUGUACUUAAAUGUACUUGAUUUAUGCACAUUUUUCCUGCAAUG